CCGGGAGGGGCUGCGCCCGCCGGGGGCUGCUCCCGUGACACCGGGCAGCCCUGGCAGCAGGCUGCUCCGCUGGCUGCCCGGGACGGGGGUUUGCUAGAUCCAGGAGCGGAUGCAAAUUCAUUUUGCUGGUGCUGGAAGCCAGAUAGAGCCCGUUGCUGCGUUAAGGCUGUGCUGGGCCCUGCCGAAGCCUCCUGAGGAGGUGGUGGCUGUGCCCUCUGCUCCCCUCCGGGCUCGCCGUGAGGGCCAGGGCGCUGGCAGAGUGAGGUGUGCGUCCCCGCCAAAAGGCUGGCAGGUCUGGCUGGUGCUGGAGGAGAGGUGAAAAUAAGCUGCGUGCUUGAAAUCUUCACCCGGUUUCCUCUUGAGCUGCUGUGGAUUCGGGGAGCGUUUUCACAUCCUAGAGCUGUGUCCUGGCUGAGAGUUUCAUCCCUUGGAGCUCGCUGGCCAUCCAGCCACCACGUCAGCUGUGCUAAAAGUGUCCGUGACAAGAAGAGUGAACGAAAACCUCAGUACAGAAUUGGCAUUUCAGCUCUUAGUGGGGUUAACAAAACACGUGCUUCUUGUUUGGUUUCGCUCCGGAGCAGCAAUGGAGAUUUUGGGCUGCAACGACACCCUGAAACCUCACUCCUCUGCCUGAUUCUGCUAUUUGUGGUGUUGGCCAGGACAAAAUUCGCUUCGUAUUUCCAAACCACAGGAAAAGUGCUCACUGCUCUUCCUGGUGCUGGUACAGCACCUGCCACAAAGGUGGUUUUGCCUGGGUCUCCCAGGCACUACAGGAGCAAAAAUAACACUGUAUAUGUAUAUAUUAAUUAGUCUUAUAUUGCCUUCUGCCAGGUGAAACGGACACCCCUACGGCUCGGGGAGCACCCAGCUUUGCCGGCGUGCUGGGGUGGGAUAUUUGCCCGUCUGACCUGGGUGCCUUGGGGCCCGGGGACGCCGGGGUUGUCUGGGGCAGUGGCGUGAGCCAGCCCUGGGCUGGGAGCGCCUGUCCUCGGGGGCCUGUGUGGGGCUGGGAGCCGGCAUGUGCCUGGAGAGCGGAGCUGUGGCUCGGCUCCUUCAUGUGCCGGAGCACCCGCUGGAGACUUCCAAGCCCCCACCGGUGCUGUGGGCGGUGUGUGAAUUUGGCUUUCUGCUCGGCAGUGGGUGUGAAGAGACUGUGAAUUCUCAUCAGCGCUUCAUUACCUUAAUAAUAUUACUUCAGGUCUGUUAAGUUCUCUUGCAGAAAAAUAAGACGUAAUUGCAUGUUUCGUUAGCUUCUCCUUCCCCCGAGCCCCAAAAGAGCUCAGCCCCUGGGUCUCGCUUCCAUGGCCACUCGUAAAAUCCACAUCAAGGGGCUACGGGAUCUUCUCCGAGAGCCUGGGCCAGGUGAGGAGCUGGGAAAGUCUGCUCAGCACCGAGCUUCUAGCAGGAUGGCCCCUCUCCCAUCCCCUUAGCUUUGACAGAUACUAAGAAGUUGUUCAGCGCUACCAUCUUUUUGAACAUUAUAUUGUGAAAGCUUUUCUUCUGUAAGAGAGAACUUCUUACCUAAACUCACCUGCUCAACAGAAAUAGCAGUGAUAAUAUGCCUGAAAUGAGGAGAUUCAGAACUGGCGUUUGUUUUACCCCAUGGCUGCUGUUCACCAAGGUCUUCCAGCGUUGUCCACCAUGCCUUACGCUCUCCGUUACCCUCGUUCUUACAUCAGAGGCUCUGUUCGAGUACUUUUAGCUUUGCACGCACUGGGGAGUUGUCCCGUUCAGGCCUGGAUGGUCACCGGGUGGAGUCAGUGGCUGUAUGUAGACCAGCACAAUCCAGAUGUGGCACUCUCUGGGCUAAUCAGACUUUGUUUUGCCACUGCCUGCCUGAUAUUGUGCAAAGAUCCUGGACUCCAGGUGCAUGGAUUUUGCAGAGCACGAGAACGUGCAGGAUAGGAGCGAGAGGCUGUACCAGCUUGGAGACCUGCAGGAGAGGAUGGAGAAGCUGGCUGGCUCCAAAACAGAUUUGUCAGCCAAAGUGGUCUUCAGUGAAGAGGAAAAACUGAAGAUUUCCAAAGACCUUGUCGAUCUGCAGAUCAAGACAAACAAAAUGAAGGAGCAGUAUGAGACGGAGAACUUUGAACUGAAAAAUAUGAUCCUGGCCCUGGAGAAUCGUGUGCUGGAGCUGGAGCUCUGCAGCGAGAAAGUCACUGGGGAGCGAGAUGCCUUACGGGAACGCCUGCAUGCUCUGGAGACCAGUCGGAAGGAGCUGGCGGAUGAGUACAUCAUUUUGAAAAGCAAUUACCUGGCCCUAGGCAAAGAACUGGAGCAGGAGGUCAUGAAGAAUGAAGAGCUCAGCCUAGAGCUGCUCAACCUGGCCAAUGCCAGGAGCACCCUUCCCCGCACAGAGAGCAACCGCGUCCCCGCCAUGGCCGAUGAAGCCUCUGCCGAGCUGGAAAGAGUGCGAGCAACGGUGCGCCGUCUCUCGGCUCGGAAGGUGAAGCCAGAAGAUGUAGUUGCAUCUGAACACGAGCGGCAAAAGCUGGAGAGAAACUUGCUUGGAAACCAGGAUCACAUAAAAGUGGAGCUUGAAAAACUGAAGAAAACCUAUGAUUCGCAGCAGCAGAAGCUGGAAGAGAGAGUGAUCGCAAUGGGGAAGGAGCUGCAGGAGGCGAGGGGAGCGAUUGGGGACACCCAGCACAAGCUGGCACAGCAGUCAGCGGUGCUGCUCACCUCCCAGAGCCAGCUCCAAGAGGUGGAGGCAGAGAACUCCCAGCUGCAGCUCCGACUGAAGAAGCUGAACGAGGAAUAUCGCUCCCGGCUCGCUCAGUACAUCAAGGAUGUGGCGGACUACAUGGACAGCAAAUCCAGCAACGUAACGGGGCCUAGCAAAGCCCCAGCUGAUCAUGCUCACAUGAAACGCUUUGUGGACAGCAUGCUGAAGGAGAUCAGGGCUUCCUACAAGUCUCGGGAAGAGCAGCUAGCUGGAGCGGCACGUGGCUACAAGAAGCGCAUGAAGAACUUGGUCAAGAAGCAUGAGAACCUGCUGAUUGCUUACGGGCUCCAGCGAGAACAGAUCCGGUCCUUGGGCAGCAGCACUACGGAUUGUGGCCCUGCUGAGCUCCACUUUUCCAUCACAGACCCAGAGCUGCUGACAAACACAACCCGGGAGCUAAACCGUCUGCGGGAGGAGAAAGCAAAACUGGAGAUGCAGUUACAUGAAUUGCAGAAGAAAAGACGUAAAGAAACCUCUGGCUUUCUGCUGUCCCCUGAGCAGCAGCUGGGUGAGGAGGGCUGGGCAGAGGUCAGGAAGCAGCUCCGGGAGUUCACACACACCACCCAGGAGGAUUUGGAGCAGGAGAGAAGCCAGCUGCUGACUCGGGCGGUCAUGGCAGAAGAGCAGGUGUCGGAGCUGCAGGAAUACAUAGAUAAGCAUCUUGCAAGGUACAAGCAGGAGAUCCUCCAGCUGAAGAAGCUCACCGGCAGCGAGGUGCCACACGCGCUCAGUGCCGGGGCGGCCGACACUCACUCACUGCCCAGCGCCAGAAGGACUGUCAGCCACCAACCGUAGCUCUUCCCCCACGGCUCUGAGAAGCGGCACGAUCACAGGAAAGAGCAGGAUUUAAAAGGAAGGAGCUUUCUGUUGUGUGGGCUGGCCAGGUGGAAAAGGGAAUGUUAUAUAAGGUGAGCAGGGCCAAACUGAUCCUUCAGCGGGAGAUGAGCUGGACAAACUCCCUCCUGAGCCGCCUUCAAAGGGACGGCGGAGCAAAGCCCGAGGCUGGGAGCGGCAGCUGCUCUGGCUCCAGGAGCACCCUGUGGCUCAAAGGCAAAGCAAAAGGCUCAAAGGAAAAACAGUCCAAAUGUUUAUUUUGAAAAAUUAACUAGAAAUAAAGUAACAAAUGUACAGAAAGAGGCA